AGAGUUUGAUCCUGGCUCAGGAUGAACGCUAGCUACAGGCUUAACACAUGCAAGUCGAGGGGCAGCAUGAAAGUUUGCUUGCAAACUUUUGAUGGCGACCGGCGCACGGGUGAGUAACACGUAUCCAACCUGCCUCAUACUCGGGGAUAGCCUUUCGAAAGAAAGAUUAAUACCCGAUGUCAUAGUCCUACCGCAUGAUGGGAUUAUUAAAGAAUUUCGGUAUGGGAUGGGGAUGCGUUCCAUUAGUUAGUUGGCGGGGUAACGGCCCACCAAGACAACGAUGGAUAGGGAUUCUGAGAGGAAGGUCCCCCACAUUGGAACUGAGACACGGUCCAAACUCCUACGGAGGCAGCAGUGAGGAAUAUUGGUCAAUGGACGAGAGUCUGAACCAGCCAAGUAGCGUGAAGGAUGACUGCCCUAUGGGUUGUAAACUUCUUUUAUAUGGGAAUAAAAUGUUCCACGUGUGGGAUUUUGUAUGUACCAUAUGAAUAAGGAUCGGCUAACUCCGUGCCAGCAGCCGCGGUAAUACGGAGGAUCCGAGCGUUAUCCGGAUUUAUUGGGUUUAAAGGGAGCGUAGGUGGAUUGUUAAGUCAGUUGUGAAAGUUUGCGGCUCAACCGUAAAAUUGCAGUUGAAACUGGCAGUCUUGAGUACAGUAGAGGUGGGCGGAAUUCGUGGUGUAGCGGUGAAAUGCUUAGAUAUCACGAAGAACUCCGAUUGCGAAGGCAGCUCACUGGACUGCAACUGACACUGAGGCUCGAAAGUGUGGGUAUCAAACAGGAUUAGAUACCCUGGUGGUCCACACAGUAAACGAUGAAUACUCGCUGUUUGCGAUAUACGGCAAGCGGCCAAGCGAAAGCAUUAAGUAUUCCACCUGGGGAGUACGCCGGCAACGGUGAAACUCAAAGGAAUUGACGGGGGCCCGCACAAGCGGAGGAACAUGUGGUUUAAUUCGAUGAUACGCGAGGAACCUUACCCGGGCUUAAAUUGCACCUGAAUAAUGUGGAAACAUGUUAGCCGUAAGGCAGGUGUGAAGGUGCUGCAUGGUUGUCGUCAGCUCGUGCCGUGAGGUGUCGGCUUAAGUGCCAUAACGAGCGCAACCCUUAUCUUCAGUUACUAACAGGUCAUGCUGAGGACUCUGGAGAGACUGCCGUCGUAAGAUGUGAGGAAGGUGGGGAUGACGUCAAAUCAGCACGGCCCUUACGUCCGGGGCUACACACGUGUUACAAUGGGAGGUACAGAAGGCCGCUACCUGGCGACAGGAUGCCAAUCCCCAAAACCUCUCUCAGUUCGGAUCGAAGUCUGCAACCCGACUUCGUGAAGCUGGAUUCGCUAGUAAUCGCGCAUCAGCCAUGGCGCGGUGAAUACGUUCCCGGGCCUUGCACACACCGCCCGUCA
rnacentral:rRNA from 1 species